rnacentral:rRNA from 1 species
UACAUGGGGUGCAAACGUUGUUCGGAAUUACUGGGCUUAAAGCGCACGUAGGCGGUGUCGUAAGUGUCAGGUGAAAUCCCACGGCUCACCCGUGGAACUGCCUGGCAGACUGCGAUACUCGAGUGUGGUAGGGGAGAGCGGAACUCCUGGUGGAGCGGUGAAAUGCGUAGAUAUCAGGAGGAACACCGGUGGCGAAGGCGGCUCUCUGGUCCACAACUGACGCUGAGGUGCGAAAGCUAGGGGAGCAAACGGG